AAACAAUGAAGAUCGACUAAGACCGCCACAUCGUGUGGCAACGUCGACCUACCCCACGUCGUGUGGG
rfam:Pontibacillus marinus BH030004 = DSM 16465 strain BH030004 contig105, whole genome shotgun sequence.